GGUUACUGCUAUCGGUGUUCGCCUAAGCCAUGCGAGUCAUAUGUUCUUCGGAACAUGGCGUACUGCUCAGUAACACGUGGAUAACCUGCCCUUGGGUCCGGCAUAACCCCGGGAGACUGGGGAUAAUUCCGGAUAACGCACAUAUGCUGGAAUGCUUUAUGCGUCAAAUGGAUUCGUCCGCCCAAGGAUGGGUCUGCGGCCUAUCAGGUAGUAGUGGGUGUAAUGUACCUACUAGCCUACGACGGGUACGGGUUGUGAGAGCAAGAGCCCGGAGAUGGAUUCUGAGACAUGAAUCCAGGCCCUACGGGGCGCAGCAGGCGCGAAAACUUUACAAUGCGGGAAACCGUGAUAAGGGGACACCGAGUGCCAGCAUCAUAUGCUGGCUGUCCGGGUGUGUAAAAUACACCUGUUAGCAAGGGCCGGGCAAGACCGGUGCCAGCCGCCGCGGUAACACCGGCGGCCCGAGUGGUGAUCGUGAUUAUUGGGUCUAAAGGGUCCGUAGCCGGUUUGGUCAGUCCUCCGGGAAAUCUGACGGCUUAACCGUUAGGCUUUCGGGGGAUACUGCCAGACUUGGAACCGGGAGAGGUAAGAGGUACUACAGGGGUAGGAGUGAAAUCUUGUAAUCCCUGUGGGACCACCUGUGGCGAAGGCGUCUUACCAGAACGGGUUCGACGGUGAGGGACGAAAGCUGGGGGCACGAACCGGAUUAGAUACCCGGGUAGUCCCAGCCGU
rnacentral:rRNA from 1 species